rnacentral:lncRNA from 1 species
GACUACAUAUUCACACAUGCAUGCAUGCAUUAGACCAUAUCAUAUUUAUAUUAUAUAUAUCAUUCAUCUAUACUAAAAUCACAUAGCAGAAUAAAACAGUAAUGAUAUAUAAGGAUAUAUACCGAGCUAGAGCUUGAUGAGCUUCCAGAGCGUCGAAGCUCCCCGGUGGUUGCACCUCCACCAUAAGCGCCUGCACCAUAGGUUCCAAAUCCACUUGUAUUGGUUCCUGUGGUUUGUGCACCAUGAGUUCCAAUUCCACUUGCAUGGGUCCCUGAAGUUGGUACACCAUGGGUUCCAGGUACACCAUGGGUUCCAAACCCACUUGUAUGGGUUCCUGUGGUUGGUACACCGUGGGUUCCAAACCCACUUGUAUGGGUCCCUGUGGUUGGUGCAAAGGUCCCUGUGGUUGGUAUACCAUGGGUCCCUGUGGUUGGUGCACCGUAGGUCCCUGUGGUUCCAGCAGUAUGGGUUCCAGUGGUAGGAAUAGUGGCUGCGACACCAGUGACAUGGACAGGAUUGCC